UAGUCUUCACUCCUUCGCUGGCACUUUU
rnacentral:piRNA from 1 species